UGUUUUCUGUUUUUUGGGCCUGCUGCGAAUUGGGCCUGCUAAGCUGCUGUUGGGCUGCACCGGUCGGGGCCUCUACACUGCUGGGCAGAAUUGGGCCGAACACCCGCUGGGCCAAGGGGAUAGGCCUGGCCUGCUAUGGGUGGCCUGCUCUUUGCUGAAAAUGGCCUGCACUUUAUUCUUUUUUUUUCCUUUCUUUCUUCCCCUUUCUUUUCUUUCUUUAUUUCUUUUUUUCAGCCUUUUUUUCUUCUCUUUUCUUCCUUUCUUUCUUCCUCCCCGAUCAGCCCCCCGCCGAUUUCUCUGCUGCUGCCGGUGCUUUCUCCGCCUGCGGUGCAACGGCCGACGACGGCGACGUGCGGUGGAGCUCUCCUUUUCUCCCUCUUUUCUUCUUUGCUUGCUCCUUUUUUUUUUAUUUUCAUGGGUAUUUUUCUUUGAUGAUUUUUUUGCUUGAUUUGCUUUCUUUGGUGGUAGUAGAUGGGAGUAUAACGGUGGUGGCGGUUUGACGACGCACGGUGGCGAUGAGGCUGCUGUUUUUGCUUGAUUUUUCUCUCAAAAAUUUUGUUAUUUUUUUUCUUUUUGCUUCCUUGCUUGGCUGCUGAAUUGGGGGUUUGAAAACCCUUUUAAAUUGUUGAUUUUUCUUCUUUUUUUGCAGGUAGCAAGUGGUUAGGGGAGAGAGAAGCCAUGCUUUAGGUCGGCUGUCGCAGUGUAGGUGCGCAACUUGCACUGUCGGAUGCCAGACGGACCAAAUUGCAAACACAGCAAAACUUUUGGGGCCAAAAUAUAAUUUUGAGAAAAUUUAGGGCUUAAAAUGUAAUUUCAAAAAGCUUAGGGGUCAAAAUAUAAUUUUAGGAAAUUUUAGGGUCAAAAUGCAAUUUUAAAAAUUUUAGGGGUCAAAAUGUAAUUUUUUAUUUUUUGUAUUUUUUUGAAAUUUAAAAAAAAACACGAAAUCAAGCCGGACAAAAUUCAGUGAUUACAGCUGCCCCUCUUUGCUCAUCGCUGUGAAACAGGGAUAGAACAAAGACUUAAAAGCACUGAAUUUUGUUCGACCAUCCAAAAUUUUCUUUUUAUUUGAAAAGCAAAAAUCGAGAACAGCUCGGCGUGCGACCCGAGGCUCAACUCACCUCUCGCAAUAUGAGUUGAUUUUUGAAAAAGGAAAUUUAAAAGAAAUACCUCGGCAUGUGACCCGAGGCUCAAUUCACCUCUCGCAAUAUGAGUUGAUUUUUGAAAAACAGCAAUUGAAAAAUAACUCGGCGUAUGACCCAAGGCUCAACUCACUUCUCGCAAUAUGAGUUGAUUUUUUUGAAAAAGAAAUUGAAAAAUACCUUAGCGUGCGACAUGGGGCUCAACUCACCUCUCGCAUUAUGAGUUGAUUUUUAGAAAAACAGAAAUUGAAAAUACCUCAGCGUGACCCAAGGCUCAACUCACUUCUCGCAUUAUGAGUUGAUUUUUGAAAAAAGAAAUUGAAAAAUAAAUACCUCGGCAUGCGACCUGAGGCUCAACUCACCUCUCGCAUUAUGAGUUGAUUUUUAGAAAAACAGAAAUUGAAAAUACCUCAGCGUGACCCAAGGCUCAACUCACUUCUCGCAUUAUGAGUUGAUUUUUGAAAAAAGAAAUUGAAAAUAAAUAUCUCGGCAUGUGAGCCGAGGCUCAACUCACCUUUCGCAAUAUGAGUUGAUUUUUGAAAAACAAGCAAUUGAAAAAUACCUCGGCGUGUGACCCAAGGCUCAACUCACUUCUCGCAUUAUGAGUUGAUUUUUAGAAAAACAGAAAUUGCAAAUACCUCAGCGUGACCCGAGGCUCAACUCACUUCUCGCAAUAUGAGUUGAUUUUUUGAAAAGCAGAAAUUUAAAAAAUACCUCAGCGUGACCCGAGGUUCAACUCACCUCUAUAUUAUGAGUUGAUUUUUUGAAAAAAAAAAACAGAAAUUAAAAAAAUACUUCAGCGUGACCCGAGGCUCAACUCACCUCUGUAUUAUGAGUUGAUUUUUUGAAAAAAACAGAAAUUAAAAAAAAUACCUCAGCGUGACCCGAGGCUCAACUCACCUCAGCGUGACCCGAGGCUCAACUCACCUCUGUAUUAUGAGUUGAUUUUUUGAAAAAAAAUAGAAAUUAAAAAAAUACCUCAGCGUGACCCGAGGCUCAACUCACCUCUGUAUUAUGAGUUGAUUUUUUGAAAAAAGCAGAAAUUAAAAAAAAUACCUCAGCGUGACCCGAGGCUCAACUCACCUCUGUAUUAUGAGUUGAUUUUUUGAAAAAAAACAGAAAUUAAAAAAAUACCUCAGCGUGACCCGAGGCUCAACUCACCUCUGUAUUAUGAGUUGAUUUUUAAAAAAAAGAUAGAAAUUAAAAAUACCUCAGCGUGACUCGAGGCUCAACUCACCUCUGUAUUAUGAGUUGAUUUUUUGAAAAAACAGAAAUUAAAUUAAAAAAAUACCUCAGCGUGACCCGAGGCUCAACUCACCUUUGUAUUAUGAGUUGAUUUGAAAAAAAAAGACAUAAAUUACAAAUACCUCAGCGUGACCCGAGGCUCAACUCACCUCUGUAUUAUGAGUUAAUUUUUAAAAAAAAGACAGAAAUUAAAAAUACCUCAGCGUGACCCGAGGCUCAACUCACCUCUGUAUUAUGAGUUGAUUUUUUGAAAAAAUGCAGAAAUUUAAAAAUACCUCUUGAAAGAAACAGGGUUUCAUAAAACAUCAGGUGAAACUAAAAGCCUUCUUCUUCAUUGAUUCUGUGCAGCUUUCUCCUAGUAUUCCUUGCUCUACUGGUAUACCUGUAUAUGUCAUGUAUGAUGUUAUUACGAUAUGCACAUGUUUGUCCUAAAUGCUUUUGUGUCUACAUGAUCAUGCAAUGCACCGUGGGCUGUUUGUCACGUGCCCCACUUUUGAUUUUUGUGAGGGUCCGCAUUCAUUUCCUCAAUUCUUGACUUUUCUCUCUAGUUUUGUACUCAUCCUCAAGUUUGGUGAGUAACCCACAUUUCUUCGUAUAUCACCCUCUUGCCCCCUCGUUGAACUUUGUUCUUGCUUCAGGGUCCUUGUAUUUAUCAAAUUCUCAUCCAGGUAAUGCUCAACAUUCCUUUUGUUUAGAGUAUGUCAUCUUACCAUUUAUCAGUUAAAUGAAUCAAACACGAGAUGCAUGAAAAAUGGUAAAGUAGGCAUGAAAGAAAUACCUCAUAUUCAAACUAUUUCAAAAGCAACAAAGAAAAUUAACAAGGAAUAGUUCAAUAAAGAAAGCAUCACAAAGAAAGGAAAGUGAAUCCAAUGGCUACAAAUGCUUUAGAUAUCCAACGCAUGAACUUCUCCACGUUUCCUCGUCCUGGAUCCUUUCGAGCACGGCUUCUGUGUAAAAGAUUUCGAGCUUCUGAGAAUGUUUCAAAUAUAGCGACUUCGUCAUUCAACUCCCCAUUCAAGUCACUUUGCUCCUUUAAGCCUGAGCGCACCUUAUUAGGACUCCCUUUCGAGUUUUCAUCCUAAUCUUUUUGUUUAUCAAGACGCCCUUUUCGGGUUUUCAUCUUGAUUUUUUCUUUCUUUUCUUUUUUCUUUUCUAUUUUUUUGUUUUUGUUUUUUUUUCUUUUUUUUUAGGCAUAAUAUUUCUUCACAGCAUCUGAGUUCACUGGAUUAAGUAAUUCUUUUCCGUCCAUCUCAGUGAGAAUCAGAGCCCCUCCUGAGAAUGCCUUUUUUACAACGUAUGGCCCUUCCCAAUUUGGUGACCAUUUUCCUCGAAAGUCUUUUUGUAUUGAGAGGAUGUUUCUUAGUACCAGUUCCCCUUCGCGGAAUUCUCUUGGCCGCACCAUUUUAUCAUGGGCCGUAAUCAUUCUCUUCUGGUACAUCUGUCCGUGACAAAUUGCCUUCAAGCGUUUUCCCUCAAUAAGAUUUAGCUGAUCAUAUCGAGCUCGAACCCACUCUGAUUCUUCUAGUUUUGUCUCUAUCAAGACUCGCAAGGACGGGAUCUCUACUUCAAUAGGCAAAAUGGCUUCCAUCCCGUAGACCAAGGAAAAAGGAGUUACCCCCGUAGACGUCCGUACCGAGGUACGAUAUGCGUGCAAAGCAAAUGGUAGCUUCUCGUGCCAGUCCUUAUAUGUCUCAGUCAUCUUCCCGAUAAUCCUCUUGAUGUUCUUAUUAGCGGCUUCUACUGCUCCGUUCAUCUUCGGGCAGUAGGGUGAAGAAUUAUGAUGGUUUAUCUAGAAUUGCUCACAUACUUCUUUCAUCAUCUUGUUGUUCAAAUUUAAAGCAUUAUCUGAAAUGAUUCUUUCAGGCAGACCAUAUCGACAUAUAAUUUCCUUUUUAAAAAACCUACAGACUGCAGCCUUUGUCACAUUAGCAAACGAAGUAGCUUCUACCCAUUUUGUGAAGUAGUCUAUAACCACAAAGAUGAAUCGAUGCCCAUUGGAAGCUUUCAGGGAAAUUGGCCCUAUAACAUCCAUGUCCCACAUAGAAAAAGGCCACGGAGAAGUCAUGACAUGAAGGGGCGACGGAGCUGCAUGAAUUUUAUCGCCAUAAAUUUGACAUUUGUGGCAUUUUCGUGCGUAGCCAAAGCAAUCCUUUUCCAUCGUCAGCCAAUAAUAACCAAGUCUCAUGAUCUGCCUGGCCAUGGUGAAACCACUAGCAUGUGUUCCACAAAUUCCUUCAUGAACCUCUUCUAGUAUCUUUCUGGCUUCAACAGCGUUUACGCACCUCAAGAGCACUUGAUCUUUUCCCCUUUUGUAUAGAAUAUCUCCGUCAAGAACAAAUCCAAUCGCCAAUUUCCUGAUUGUUCUUUUGUCAUUCUCAUUUGCUUGCUCGGGGUACCUUUGAUUCUUGAUAUACUCCAAGAUAUCAUGGAACCAUGGUUGUCCAUCUGACUCCUCCUCAAUGCUAAAGCAAUGCGCGGGGGUCUCAUAUAUACUCAUUUGGAUGGACAUUAUCUCAGUUUCCCUGUUUGCUUUGAACAUCGAAGCCAAAGUGGCUAGGGCAUCAGCCAGUUGGUUCUCCUCUCGUGGAAAGUAGUUAAAAGUCACUUCCUUGAAUUCUUUGACCAAUUUCGCAACGAGAUCGUGGUACUUGAUUAAUUUCGAAUCCCUCACUUCCCAAUCUCCACGAAUUUGAUAAAUGACUAACGAUGAGUCCCCGUGUACCUCUAAGAUUUUGAUCUUCUUCUUGAUAGCUUCACGAAGCCCCAUGAUGCAAGCUUCGUACUCCGCUAUAUUAUUGGUACAGAAGAAAUCCAAUCUGGCAGUGAGUGGGUAAUGGACCCCUUCAGGUGACACUAAGACUGCUCCGAUCCCAUGCUCCAAUGCAUUUGAUGCACCAUCAAAGCUCAUCUUCCAUGACUUUCCUUUUGAUGACUUGCCCUCUUUUUCUGAAAUGCACAUCAAAUCUUCAUCUGGGAAAUCAAAUCUCAAAGGCUCGUAUUCCUCCGUUGUUCGACUUGGCAAGAAAUCAGCUAUUGCGCUUCCCUUUAUCGACUUUUGGCUCACAUAUACAAUGUCAUACUCAGUCAAUAGGAUCUGCCAUCGUGCCAUCCUCCCUGAGAGUGCAGGUGACUCCAUCAUGUACUUUAUUGGGUCCAAUUUUGAAAUUAACCAUGUCGUAUGAUAUAACAUGUAUUGUCUGAGCCUUCGAACCGUCCAAAUUAAUGCAUAACAAAAAUUUUCAAUUGAAGGGUAUUUCGCUUUAUACUCUGUGAACUUCUUGCUGAGGUAAUAAAUUACCUUUUCUCUUUUCCCCGACUCGUCAUGUUGUCCCAGUACGCAACCCAUUGAGUUCUCAAACACGGUCAAUUACAAUAUUAAUGGUUUUCCAGGGGUCAGCGGUACUAGCACAGGAGGAUUAGACAAAUACCGUUUUAUCUUAUCGAAUGCCACUUGGCACUCCUCGUUCCAUUCUCCCGGGUUAUGCUUUCGAAGGAGUCGAAAAAUUAGAUCACACUGAUUCGUAAGUUGGGCAAUGAAUCGAGCAAUGUAAUUCAACCUUCCUAACAAUCCCCUGACUUCCUUUUGUGUGCGCGGGGGAGGCAAUUCUUGUAUAGCUUUUAUCUUAUCUAGAUCAACCUCGAUACCUCUUUCACUAACAAUGAAACCUAGCAGUUUUCCUGAGGUAGCCCCAAACGUACAUUUGGCCGGGUUAAGCUUCAACUGGAACUUCUUUAAUCUUUCAAACAGCUUCCUAAGACUCCCAACACGCUCUCUUUCUUCCCGAGAUUUGGCAAUCAUAUCAUCGACAUAAACUUCUAUUUCUUUGUGCAUCAUAUCAUGAAACAACGUCACCAUAGCUCUCUGAUAUGUUGCCCCAGCAUUCUUUAAUCCGAAUGGCAUUACUUUAUAGCAGAAGGUUCCCCAUAUUGUUAUGAAUGCAGUUUUCUCCAUGUCCUCGGGAGCCAUCUUUAUCUGAUUAUAACCUGAGAAGUCACCCAUGAAUGAAAACAAAGAAUGCUUUGCCGUAUUAUCCACCAAACUGUCGAUGUGCGGUAAAGGAAAGUUAUCCUUAGGGCUUGCUUGAUUCAGAUCACGAUAAUCCACGCACAUUCGCACCUUGCCAUCCUUUUUUGGCACUGGGACUAUAUUAGCUACCCAUUCUGGAUACUUUGAAACUUGUAGGAAGCCAGCGUCAAAUUGUUUCUUGACUUCUUCUUUUAUCUUUAACAGCAUUUCGGGUCUCAUCCUUCUUAAUUUCUGCUGAACGGGCUUACAUUCUGGUUUCAGUGGGAGCUUAUGGACCACAAUAUCUGUGUUCAACCCUGGCAUAUCCUGAUAAGACCAGGCAAACACAUCCUUGUACUCAUGGAGCAAGGCGAUCAAAUUACGCCUGGUGUUUUCUAAAGUGGAAGUCCCAAUCUUCACUUCUUGUUUCUCUUCUUCAUUCCCCAAGUUCACUACCUCAACAGAUUCUUGAUGGGGAAGGAUCUGUUUCUCCUCUUGUUCCACCAUUCUCAGUAAGUCAGGAGACGAGACACAAUCUUCAGCAUUUUCGUCGGCUUCGAAUUCUCCUAAACAAACAGCCUUCUCAAAAUUGAUUUCAGGAUUCAUAACGGGAUUAUUCAUGCCAUUGAUAUCUAAGCACCUGAAAGGUGAAUGGAAAAAGCUAUAGAAGAGCAUUGAGGUAUUGGAAUCAACAUAUGAUGAUAUGAGAUGAUAUGAGACAUAUGCUGGAAAAGGAAAUGAAUAGAAGGAGUAGUCGUGAAGUUAAUGGAAAUGAAAAGAACAUGACAAUAUAAAACAAAAUGCAUCUUCAUUAAUGAUCAUUAAAAUGAUAAAGAGCAAACAUAAGCUCUUACAAAAGGGACCCUACUAUUUAAGGACACACAAAAUGAAGGGUUAACAUUGAGCAUUACUCUGAAGGAGACUUAAAAACUACAAUGAGGUCCACAGCAGUCCAGUUGUUCAAAACAUAUCCUGGAGGACAAGGGCCUAUCAUCGAAGCGUUCUUAAUUUCAUCAUUCUCAUUGUCAAUAGCAUUUAGACUGAGAUUCUGAAGACCCUUUUCAAUCAAUAAUGUGGCUUACGAAUUGUUCUGCCCUGGGUACAUCACUCCUGCUGAUGUAAAUGUUCUCGACAAAGGAGGAUACGCCAACGGCCCCCAUUCUAAUUCCUGGCCCGAAGCUCUUGCGAUUCUUCUUUCUCGAUUUUUCUGAAAUUGUUUUCGUUUUUUAUGUACAUCUGGCUUAAACCCCAAACCGUAUCAACCCUUGUGGUACGUUGGUUUCAAAGCUCUAACCAUCCCUUGUUGAUAUUUUCCCAAACUUUUCCUUGCUCGAGCUCUUUGUCCCACAGUCAGCUUAAUUCCAAUCUUGGUAUUCCUCGACAGUUUGGGAAUGGGGAUCUUAUUCCCUUCAGCAACAAAUGCAGCAUUGAUAAAUUCCAAGGAGCGAAAAGAACAUUCUACAGCAUCUUCGCUUAUUUCGAUGUAGGGUGCAUCAGUAGAGAUAGAUGCGACGAUGUCUUCCUCGCCACCAACAGUAAUCAAACGACUAUCCAUGAUGAACUUUACUUUCUGAUGGAGAGAUGAAGGAACUGCCCAGCAGAAUGGAUCCAAGGUCUUCCUAACAGGCAAUUGUAUGAAGGCGUGAUGUCCAUGACCUGAAACUCAAUAUCGUAUGCACAUGGCCCCACUUUUAAAGGAAUUUCGAUCUUUCCCAUGACCUCUCACCGUGUCCCAUCAAAUGCCCUUACUAUAGAAUGACAAUGCCUCAGAUAGGACAUAUCAACCGGCAUCCUAGAAAGCGUGGCCAAAGGCAUAACAUUGAGUGCAGAUCCAUUGUCGAUGAACACAUUUGGUAAUAUGUAACCUUUGCAAUUGGUUGUGAUGUGCAAUGCUUUUAUGGAGCCUCUUCCAUUUGGCGGUAUUUCGUCGUCACUAAAGGAGAUGAAAUUAUCUGCAUUUAGAUUAUUUGCCCACCUAUCAAACUUUUCCACAGAUACAUUGUUCGCCACAUAAGCUUGAUUUAACACUUUUAACAAGGCAUUCCGAUGUGGCUCCGAAUUCAACAAUAGAGACAGUACCGAGAUUGUUUAAUUGUUCUACAACGCUAUAUUCACUGUGCUUAAUGAACUUUAAGAACUCACAUGCUUCCUCCUAAUUCACAGCCUUUUUAACUUCUUGCUCGGGUGGUAUUUCAACAUCAUCCUCAGCCUCAUACAUUGGUGCUUUUCCUUUUUGGCUCGGACCAGCAACCUUCUUCUUUGGCUCAACCGUCUCGGGAGAAUAACAUCUUCCGCUACGAGUAAAAUGUCCUACUCCGCUAACACCUUCACUCACAACCUUGGACUUUUCACCCUCAGGUACAAUGAUAUUAACAUCAUACUUCCACGGCACUGCCUUGUUGUCCUUGUAAGGGAAAGGAGCAGGUACUUCGAUUAUCAAACUUGGUUUAACUUCUCGACUAACCUCUUCCUUCUUUGCCUCGUAAUAAAUCACCAAAGGUCUAUCGACGCUAUAAGGGAAAGCCAUCAAUUGAUUAUCAGAGGCACAUAUUUCUCCUUCUUCGGUCCCCUCCACCCUAUCAAAGACCUUGACCUCUUUGUUAUCCAUCAUGUCCUGAAGUAAUUUCCCAAAUUCCUUACAAGAUUGGAUGUCAUACCCUUGGACGCCAUGAAAAUCAUAGAAACUUUGGUCUUUUGUACUUUCUUCUUUGAGAAUCUUACUAGACAGACAGAGCAAGCCACUUUCAAUCAUCAUCUCCCAUACCUUCCGCAAAGGUGUCUUUAUUUUGGUAACAUAAACUUUGGCUCACCAAUUGUCUUCGUUUGUUACCGCAUUUACAUUUCCGCCAGUAUGAUUAGGAAGAGGAUUCCCCGUCACAUUGCUAACACCAUCGAAUCGUAGAACGCCGGCAUCAAUGAGACCUUAAACCCUCCUUUUAAAAGCAAGGCAGUUUUCUGUAGAGUGUCCCUAAUUCCCAGCGUGAUACAUGCAGUUAGCGUUAGGAUCAUACCACUUCGGAUAUGGAGGCUUCAGGGGCGCCAUGUAAUGUGGGGAUAUUAACUGUUUUUCCAACAGCUUCGGGUAUAAUUCUUCGUAUGAUACAGGAAUUGGAGUAAACUGAGGCCUUUCAAGAUUGGGUCUUGUUGGUCUUUGUUCAUUUUUCGGUUGGCUUUGUGUAGGCACGAUGUUUGGUGGGAACACGGUGAAUGGUCUUUGGUUAUUCAUAGCAUAAACGGGGUAAGGCGAAGGUGCUUGAUAGUAAGGACCUUGAGGAGGAAAGUAGAAGUUUGAAGGUGGGCGAUAAUGAGGUCGUGAUUGGGUGGGGUACGAAUUGGGAGCACAGUGGCUCUCGGUUCCAACCAUAUGGGCCUCCACCUCCUUUUUCUUUACAGGUACUGCCCUCUUCUAACUCUCAGAGCUUUCUAUUCUCCCACUCUUGACGGCGUUUUCAAUAAGCUCCCCAGAUAUUACAAUAUUCGCAAAGUCCUUUGUGGCACUUCCUACCAAUUUGUCGUAAAACGGUGCUUUUAGAGUAUUAAUAAAGAGGAUCGUUAUCUCUGUCUUAGUUAACGGAGGCUCCACUUGAGCAGAGAUAUCCCUCCAUCUUUGUGCAUAUUGCCGAAAAGUCUCUGUCGGCUUCUUUUCCAUCAUUUGUAAAGUUAAUCGAUCAGGCACCAUAACCGAUACAUGCCUAUAUUGCUCACAGAAUGCUGACGCCAAAUCUUUCCAUGAUCGGAUUCUCUCUCUGCUAAGCUGAUUAUACCAUCGAAGGGCUGAGCCCACUAAACUAUCUUGAAAGCAGUGUACCAAUAACUUAUCAUCGUUCAUGUAGCCAGUCAUCUUUCGGCAAAACAUGAUAAGAUGCGCCUUUAGACAUCUUGUUCCAUCAUACUUCUCAAAAUCAGGUGCCUUGAAUUUUGGGGGUAGAAUCAAAUCAGGUACCAAAUUGAGCUCUUUGGCACUCAAAGCAGAGAAAACUUCAGCGCCUUCUACUGCCUUGAUCCUCUCUUCCAAGAUCCUAUACUUAUCCUGAGCGUUAUUGUCAUCAAUUCUCAACCUUGCUACUUCUACAGGAUCAUCUAGGUCUGGAACAAUUGGAUCUGAAGGAUUAGCCCCAGGGUUCGAUACAAACAUUCCUUGUCCUAAAUGAGCAGAUGGAGUAGGAUGUUGUUCCAGGCCUGUAGGUUCCCUUUGGGGGUAUCCUCGUUGCAUUGCGUGGACAUGAGGUGGAGUAAAUCCCGGGGAAUAAAGUGGGUCUUGAUUAGCUCUUGACUGAGGCGGUUCUACGACAUCAGGGCUCUGCAUAGGUCUCUUUCCUUUGACCAAGGCCGUCAUCAUUUCCAUCAUUUUGGCCAUUUGUUCCCUUUGCUCGAGCGAUUCCUCUCGAGACCUCACCAUCAAAUCUCUUGCCUCUUGCUGCGACUUGGCCAGUUGCUCCUGUAACUCUCUUUGGGUUCUUUCCAUCUUUUCCAUCCUUUCAUUGAGUUCGGCAUCCAUAGCUUUAGCUCUCAAGCGUGUCCUGUAAGAGUGACGUGAUUCCAGACUCGUAGUGUGGUAACUGUGGAUUAGAUGGUUUUAACCUUAGCGAAUGAUUAGGGAGAUAUGAGCAUGCAAUGAAUAAAUGAAUGAGUAACUAAUAAAUGUUAAUCAUGCGUAAAUAUGCAAAAAUAGGUGUUGAUUCCAAAAUGGCCCCAUACUUGGGUGUUUUAUUUAUCAAAAGAGUCCGUUACAAAAAGUUUUGCCAUAUUAAUUUUAACAGUUACACAAACUUCUUAGCCACAUCGCCUUGUUUCUUUAUACGUUCCAAGAACUCCGAAAUGCUCGAUCUUUGGCUAGGAGGGUAUUGACAACUGAGAACUUCCGCUUCAUCUGAUAAUUGUACAACAUGCGCCGCCACCUUACGAAUUUCAUUGAUCAAACUACCGAGAUGCAUAUCCUUUUCUUGGAGGGCUCUUUCAUAGGCGCGAAUGUCUCUGUCAUGCUGACCAUUCUUCUCUUCUAAAGCUCUCAAGAGGUCAUCCAAAUGUUGCUGAUGAGCUUGCAGUGUACUCUCUAGACUUCAGAUUUUUCCUUUUAGCUCUUGAUGCCCAGACUGACUAGCCGUUAGUUCUGCAGUCACAGUUUCGUAUUCAGCGUUCUUCUUCCUCAACUCUAUCAUAGCACGUGCAGCUCUUUCCUCUUCUUUCUUCGCUUUGGCUUUCCAGAAUUCCAUUCCACCUUUGAUAUUGCUUAGUUCCUCCUUCCAUUCUGCUGAUGCUUUGCCUAAUCCACUAUUUCUUAUAGUGCCUCUUAAUUUCUUGUUUUCCAAAUGAAGGUCCUUUAAAUCCUUUCUCGUGACUUCACCUUCUUUUUAGACUUUUUCUGUUCUGGAUUUUUCAAUUUCGACAUCAAUCUUCAGCUGGAAGUUUUCCUCCUGGAGAGAACUAAUAUCUCGCAACAUUUUGGCUUUUUCACGUUCAAAUUCAUGUCUUGCAAUUUCUAGCUCGGAUGGGAUUUCCUCUGAGAACGGAUUCCGGUAAGCUUCAUCGAUCGGUGGGGUUAUUUGACUCUUCACUCGUCGUUGCCUCCAUAUGUCAUAGUCUACAGUGAUAGUAUCAGCAUAGAGAGCCAAUUCUAUUAGGUAGAUUUUCUUCCAAGAAUUCGCAGUAUCUCUAACCUUUCUUAUGUAACCCUCACCCAUAAAGGCAAACUCCGAUUGUGCCAAUCCAUCGGUAACUGGUACAAACUGUCGCGAAGCGAACUGUCUUUGAACCAACAAUGGAGCAUAUCCAACUCCUCCCCAUAAUCCUAGUAAAGGCACCCAGUCUUGGUUUCCACACUUGUAUAACAAGACAGAGGGAUGAAUCCAAGGUGCUCUCCAAGUUAUAUCUUCGGCACGGAGGUUCUGAAAAACCGAGACCCAAUGUUGUUCAGUGACAUCCUUCGGCCAAUCUUUUUCAAGGUGUGCUUCCAACGGGGAGAAUGUCUUUGAAAACAUGUGGAAAGGCGAGCGCUCCACCUUCCAAAAGUGGCUAAAGAUCCAAACAUUUAGUAACUGAGCGCAUCCGAUAAAGCGUCCUUCCCCUUUUCUCCUACAAGCAUUUAGAGAUCUAAAAGUCUCAGCCAAGAUGGUUGGGACCGGGUUGACUCUUUGCUUCAACUUUUCGAAGAAAUCCACAACCGCAACUUCAAUAUGCCCAAGAACCUUCGGGAAGACGACCAGUCCGUAAAUGGCCAAGGCAAACAAAUCUACUCUUUUCAAAACAUCUGGGUGAUUCUGAACUAACUCCCGAAGAGGAAACCACGGAACACAACUGACUUCAUACUUCUUCUUUAUCUGUUUUUCAGCCCAUGUAUCAGUCAUCCCCGUCAACUUCAUUAGCUUUUUCUUAAAGGUCAUUGGUUUAGGCUCCUUCACAUAUAUUUUGUUGAGUUGCACAUUAUCGAUGCGAAGCAAAGCGGCAUACUCUUCUAUGGUUGGAGUCAUAUCUUCCUGAUUGAAAGUGAAACAUUGAUAGGCUGGGUCCCAGAAUCGAACCAUGGCUUGGAUCAACUGCUCGUUCACAUCGAUUGCUAUCAAGUGAGCUAUAUCCCCAUACUUCUCGGUGAAAAUGCCUCUAGUAUCUGAGUCCCACUGUUUCCAAAUCCUUGUCAAGUCUUCAAGAUCAUUCUGGCGCACAUUCGAGGUCACACGUUCGGGAAGAUCAGAGGUGUAUCCUUCCUUCAAACUGUCCCCUUUCGCCUUCUGAGUUCUCAAAGACCAAUCUCGAACUACAGCAUUUUUCUCGGUUACUCGUGUAAUUGACUCCUCCAUCAGAAACCCGUUUUUGGCAACCAAUAUUUAACCAACACCUUCCUAAUGAGAUGUCUACGAUGCAUGAUGAAAAAUAAAAUGAAGAACAAAUAACCUUGGUCAGAGAUCAAAACAGAUAUAAAAAGAAGAAAGAAGAAAAAUAAAGACUAUGGAAAAUUUAACGAAUUAAGCUAUUCAAUUAUGCAAUUUGGUGGAACAGACCCACAUUUUUUUUUGCCCCAACAUGCUUUAUAAGAAAUCUACCCCACAUACGAUCAGACAAUCUAUCCGGCCCAAUUUAUUAAACAGACUCAAUUCAUUAAAUAAGUGUAAAUGCAAAAGAAAUAAAAGGUAAGAGGCGUUUCUCCCGUGUACUUAUUUUGGUGACUAUUCGACGGAUGGAGGUUCGGCAUGGCUCUAAACGGGUGGCUCGUAUGGUUCGCUAUAUGUGAUUUCAGUUCUAGGAAGGUACUCGAAUUGUCCAUACUGCCACCUACUAAGGUUAGUACGGAGCCUCGGUCAUCACCCAUCACAGGCUCGCGAGCACAAUUCGAGGGAUUACAUUUACUUAUGCCUAUGCGGAAGGACGAGUUAACUCACGAAAGCAUAAGUCAUAUGUAACCCGGAAGUAUUUCACUAGCCUGUGCGGAGGGACGAGUUAACUCACGAAGGCGUAGCGUUUACUUCCACUUAAACAGACGGAGCCCGGGUAGAGAGCUCAUGUUAUGCAAGAAUGCAAGUGCACAGUGUGUGGGGAGAAACUCACAAACCUUUUUAUUUUUACUUUUCUAAAAAACAAACUAAAAAAAACCGUAAAACUUAGAGCUGACAAAAAAGAAAAAUAAAACACGUUAGAAAAUCAUAAAUUUAAAAACCGAAUGCAAAUGCAUGACUUUUAAAAAAAUAAAAUUCAAGGAUCACGAUUAAAAAUUAAUUUGAACAAGAAAUUUUGAAAAUUUUGACAACACGCGUUUAACAUUAGACUCGACUCUCGAAAAAAAGUCCCCAGUGGAGUCGCCAGCUGUAGCGACCUAAAAAUUUUGGGGCACGGGCGCUGGUCGAAGUGAUUAUUGAAAAUUUAAAAGCACCGUUUCAAUUUUAUUCGAAAAAGGAGUCGCCACCGAUCUUUUUUCUAGGUGUGAUCGGACACCUACAAAAUUCUCUUUUUAGAAGAAAAAUUUAUUUUUAAACUUUUCUAAAAAAGAGGUAAUUUUAGGUCCACGUAAAAAUCUAGAGAUUAUUAGGGUUCGGGAGUCGGUUACGAGCGAGGAAGGUAUUAGCACCCUCGCGACGCCCAAAAUUAGUAUCUCGUAAAACGCGCGUUGUCUUGAUUUUCAAAAAUACGAGUUCAAUUUAAUAUUAGUCGUGACCCGAUUGAAACACGAGAAUUUUAAAGCACAACAACUUUUUCUUUUUUUUGAAAACACAAAUUUUUUUUUAAAAUACAAGAAUUUUAGAAACACGAAUUUUUUUUAAAAAGACACGAAAAUUUUGAAACACGAGAUUUUUUUGAAAACACGAAUUUUCUUUUUGAAACACGAAAAUUAUUAAAACACAAAAUUUGUUUUUGAAAACAUAAAAUUUUUUAUAAAAAACGAAACACGAGGAUUUUUUUUUGAAACACGAAAAUUUAUGAAACACGGUCAAUUUUUUGAAAACACGAAAAUUUUUGAAAGACGAGAAUGUUUUUUUAAAACACGGAAAUUUAUGAAACACAGAAUCUUUUUUGAAAACAAGAAAAUUUUUGAAAUACAGGAAUUUUUAAAAACACGAAAAUUUUUGAAACACUAGAAUUUUGAAAACACGAAGAUUUUUGAAACAUGAGAAUUUUUGAAAACACGAAUUUUUUUUUAAAACACGGAAGUUUUUGAAACACAAGAAAUUUUUUUUUUGAAAACACGAAAAUUUUUGAGACACGAUUUUUUUUAAGAAGUACCGUAUUUAACACAAAUCAAUGAUAUUCAUCCCUACAUGGCGAUGAAAUCAUCGAAUUAGUGCCAAAUCGAUUCAACUUAAUAUUUAAUCGUGAUUCUAUUAAAACACGAGAAAUUCUCAUUUUUAAUUAUUUCAUUUUUUAAAAAAACACGAGAAAUUUUGAAUGUUUUCAGUUUUUUUAAAUGGCGUCCCGUAUUUAACACGAGCCAUCAAUAUUCACCAAAUAUAGCGAUGAAUUCGAUGACUUAAUGUUAAAUCGGUUCGUUGCCUUAUGCAUUAAAAUGAUUUUUCUAUUCUAAAAAUGAAAUUAUUUAAAUUUAAAAUUAUAAAAUAAAAUAAACAAAAUAAUAUUUCAAAAAUACCAUAAAAAUGCUAAUUUAAUUAAAAUGAGACAAUAUUUAAAUAAAUGGACUAAAUUAAAAUGGAUUUAAAGAAAUCACCAAAAGCCCAAAGUUAUGGGCUUGAAUUUUGGGCCUUUUUCUUUUUCUUCAUUUUUUGUUUUCUGUUUUUUGGGCCUGCUGCGAAUUGGGCCUGCUAAGCUGCUGUUGGGCUGCACCGGUCGGGGCCUCUACACUGCUGGGCAGAAUUGGGCCGAACACCCGCUGGGCCAAGGGGAUAGGCCUGGCCUGCUAUGGGUGGCCUGCUCUUUGCUGAAAAUGGCCUGCACUUUAUUCUUUUUUUUUCCUUUCUUUCUUCCCCUUUCUUUUCUUUCUUUAUUUCUUUUUUUCAGCCUUUUUUUCUUCUCUUUUCUUCCUUUCUUUCUUCCUCCCCGAUCAGCCCCCCGCCGAUUUCUCUGCUGCUGCCGGUGCUUUCUCCGCCUGCGGUGCAACGGCCGACGACGGCGACGUGCGGUGGAGCUCUCCUUUUCUCCCUCUUUUCUUCUUUGCUUGCUCCUUUUUUUUUUAUUUUCAUGGGUAUUUUUCUUUGAUGAUUUUUUUGCUUGAUUUGCUUUCUUUGGUGGUAGUAGAUGGGAGUAUAACGGUGGUGGCGGUUUGACGACGCACGGUGGCGAUGAGGCUGCUGUUUUUGCUUGAUUUUUCUCUCAAAAAUUUUGUUAUUUUUUUUCUUUUUGCUUCCUUGCUUGGCUGCUGAAUUGGGGGUUUGAAAACCCUUUUAAAUUGUUGAUUUUUCUUCUUUUUUUGCAGGUAGCAAGUGGUUAGGGGAGAGAGAAGCCAUGCUUUAGGUCGGCUGUCGCAGUGUAGGUGCGCAACUUGCAUUGUCGGAUGCCAGACGGACCAAAUUGCAAACACAGUAAAACUUUUGGGGCCAAAAUAUAAUUUUGAGAAAAUUUAGGGCUCAAAAUGUAAUUUCAAAAAGCUUAGGGGUCAAAAUAUAAUUUUAGGAAAUUUUAGGGUCAAAAUGCAAUUUUAAAAAUUUUAGGGGUCAAAAUGUAAUUUUUUAUUUUUGUAUUUUUUAGAAAUUUAAAAAAAAAAAAACGAAAUCAAGCUGGACAAAAUUCAGUGAUUACAGGGACAUUUGAAUCAAAGAUCUUAGUCAAUGUGUCCCAUUCUCCUGUGCCAUAAUUUGGUUUCAUCUAGCGAACUGGUAUAAGUAACAGAAGUUGCCAAGUUCCAAUUAACAGUAAAACUUUUAUCAACC
rnacentral:lncRNA from 1 species